rnacentral:lncRNA from 12 species
AUGACUAAAUAUAUAAGGUUGAGAGAAGCUCUGGUGUCCACUGCAGGGGUGGAGAGCAUGGGACACUGGAGAGCAAUCUUCUCUUUGGGAUCUGUUGGCACAUCAACUUCUGUGAACUCCAUGAGAGUGCGGUCUACUGUGGGUCUAUGUAUGGAAUUUAAUGUUAUUAUAACCACGGAGAGACAAACUGUUCCUGAAACUAAGGAUAGCAGGAUGAGAAAGAGGUAACACCACGGUGUAAUGUGCAAUUUGUGCCCAAGGAAGAUGGCACCAGUUGCGCUGUUUGCUGUCCUGUGGAACCACUUGGCUUUGUGAGCACAGAGGAGGUCCCUGUCAGAGCAGUCAACAGUCUGGCUCACACAGGCUGAGCCACACAGCAUGACAAACCAAACAGUGUGGGAUUUCUAUGGGAUUGCUUACUGCUUUUUCUUUUCUUCAAAAAGUCUUUGAAUUGUUUUCAGUGUCCAGCCUACCUUAAAAUUAAAGAAAUAUUAAUGACAACAACUCUGAGCUCUACUACUACUAAUUAAGUUGACACAAAAAUAAGUGACAGUGGCAAAAUCCAAUGCUAGUGGAGGUGUGGGAAAAUAGAUACAUUCAUAUGUUGCUAG